rnacentral:rRNA from 1 species
GAUGAACGCUGGCGGCGUGCCUAAUACAUGCAAGUCGAACGCAUAGCGAAAGGUGCUUGCACCUUUCAAGUGAGUGGCGAACGGGUGAGUAACACGUGGACAACCUGCCUCAAGGCUGGGGAUAACAUUUGGAAACAGAUGCUAAUACCGAAUAAAACUUAGUGUCGCAUGACACAACGUUAAAAGGCGCUUCGGCGUCACCUAGAGAUGGAUCCGCGGUGCAUUAGUUAGUUGGUGGGGUAAAGGCCUACCAAGACAAUGAUGCAUAGCCGAGUUGAGAGACUGAUCGGCCACAUUGGGACUGAGACACGGCCCAAACUCCUACGGGAGGCUGCAGUAGGGAAUCCUCCACAAUGGGCGAAAGCCUGAUGGAGCAACGCCGCGUGUGUGAUGAAGGCUUUCGGGUCGUAAAGCACUGUUGUAUGGGAAGAACAGCUAGAAUAGGAAAUGAUUUUAGUUUGACGGUACCAUACCAGAAAGGGACGGCUAAAUACGUG